GACGAACGCUGGCGGCGUGCUUAACACAUGCAAGUCGAACGGAAAGGCCCUGCUUUUGUGGGGUGCUCGAGUGGCGAACGGGUGAGUAACACGUGAGUAACCUGCCCUUGACUUUGGGAUAACUUCAGGAAACUGGGGCGAAUACCGGAUAGGAGCUCCUGCUGCAUGGUGGGGGUUGGAAAGUUUCGGCGGUUGGGGAUGGACUCGCGGCUUAUCAGCUUGUUGGUGGGGUAGUGGCUUACCAAGGCUUGGACGGGUAGCCGGCCUGAGAGGGUGACCGGCCACAUUGGGACUGAGAUACGGCCCAGACUCCUACGGGAGGCAGCAGUGGGGAAUAUUGCACAAUGGGCGGAAGCCUGAUGCAGCAACGCCGCGUGCGGGAUGACGGCCUUCGGGUUGUAAACCGCUUUCGCCUGUGACGAAGCGUGAGUGACGGUAAUGGGUAAAGAAGCACGGGCUAACUACGUG
rnacentral:rRNA from 1 species